rnacentral:lncRNA from 1 species
UUGGUGGUGAAGAAGAGGUGAAGAAUGUAUAAAGGCAAGUAUUUGCCUCUCACUAAGAUCCUGUGAAGAGAAGAUACACACGAAUUCCUAUUUUAGUCUGGAUCAGAAGAAAAUUUCCCUGGUGGCAGCAGCCCCGAUACUGAAAAGCAUCUUGCAUUCAUGCUCCUCACUGUCCCUCUGAGAUUCAAUCUCACAUGGAAGAGGAUCCUGCCCUGGAAGACCUGGAGUAGGAAGCUGUGCUAUGGGCAUUAAAUAUCAAUGCACUCUCACAGAAGCUGCUCUGUGGACACAGACUUCCUGUGUGGGUCAUCCUGGGUUUCUUCCUCCUAGGAAUGGGGAUCACAAGGAGAGCAAGGAGACCAAGCAGGAGACCAAGCCAGUGAAGACCGCCAGGAACACCCACCAGCCUCCAGCUUGGCCGCGUGGGCCCCUGCAGCAAUAGCGCACCCCGCUGGCUGUCCAGCUACUUGGAUCCACACCACAGAGGCACAAGGAAGCAUAAAGGCCAUUGUCCUGAGCUGCAGAAGUGAACAACAGAGAGAGGGCCUCUCUCAGGCUCCCUGAUGAAAACUGAAGCCCACUAGAAAGUGAAGAGAACCUCUGCAAUAAAGGCACACCAGACCACCAUGCUUGGUAAGUUGGAGGGAUCAUCACCUCCCAUCGGAACCUGGACUAUCUUCAGGGGAAAGGCAUCUGGAACCUGCGGUAGAACCUUCCAUGGUUCAUCCCUGCAGGAGGACAGGGAGCUCAACUUUGGACUUGCAGCCAGAAAUCUGCCUGAAUCUCACAGGUCUGUGACUGGUUUGAGUAUCGCCUCAAUGUGGACCCACUUAGCUAUAAAUGUCUCUAAUUUCUCAUUUGUUAUGGCUGAGUAGUACUCCAUUUUAUAUAUAUAUUAAAAAAAAAAACACCUUUUCUUUAUCCAGUCUCCAGUUGAUGGGCAUUUGGGCUGUUUCCAAGUUUUAGCUAUCACAAACUCUGCUGCUAUGAACACAGGUGCACAUAUAUCACUGUGGUAUGAUUCAUUUAAUUCUUUG